rnacentral:rRNA from 1 species
AGCGAACGCUGGCGGCAGGCCUAACACAUGCAAGUCGAGCGCCCCGCAAGGGGAGCGGCAGACGGGUGAGUAACGCGUGGGAAUCUACCCAUCCCUACGGAAUAGCUCCGGGAAACUGGAAUUAAUACCGUAUACGCCCUACGGGGGAAAGAUUUAUCGGGGAUGGAUGAGCCCGCGUUGGAUUAGCUAGUUGGUGGGGUAAAGGCCUACCAAGGCGACGAUCCAUAGCUGGUCUGAGAGGAUGAUCAGCCACAUUGGGACUGAGACACGGCCCAAACUCCUACGGGAGGCAGCAGUGGGGAAUAUUGGACAAUGGGGGCAACCCUGAUCCAGCCAUGCCGCGUGAGUGAUGAAGGCCUUAGGGUUGUAAAGCUCUUUCACCGGGGAAGAUAAUGACGGUACCCGGAGAAGAAGCCCCGGCUAACUUCGUGCCAGCAGCCGCAGUAAAAC